rnacentral:rRNA from 1 species
CAGCCGCCGCGGUAAUACCGGCGGCCCGAGUGGCGGUCACUAUUAUUGGGCUUAAAGCGUCCGUAGCCGGGUUGGGAAGUCCUCCGGGAAAUCUGGCCGCUUAACGGUCAGAAUGCCGGAGGAUACUCCCAGCCUAGGGAGCGGGAGAGGCCGAGGGGAUUCCCGGGGUAGGGGUGAAAUCCUAUAAUCCCGGGAGGACCACCUGUGGCGAAGGCGCUCGGCUGGAACGCGUCCGACGGGGAGGGACGAAGGCCAGGGGAGCAAACCGGAUUAGAUCCCCGGGUAGUCCUGGCUGUAAACGAUGCGGACUUUGUGUCGGACAAGCUAUGAGCUUGUCCGGUGCCGGAGGGAAACCGUUAAGUCCGCCGCCUGGGGAGUACGGCCGCAAGGCUGAAACUUAAGGAAUUGGCGGG